AAGUCGUAACAAGGUAACCGUAGGUGAACCUGCGGUUGGAUCAUUAAAAAUAAAAAGUGGGACCUAGACUGGCCUUUGCAAAAUGCGCCGGUUCAAAGUCCCAGCCUUUCGAGGAAACAUCCUGUGAACUGUUCUGUUUUUCGGCGGGUGGGCAGUGAGAGCUGCUUGUCAGCGUAGGGCGAUCUUUACGGAUCUCUUUCUACGUCGUGGACAGCCCGUCGGCCGUGCUCAAAACCAAUUUAUUAUUAUUCAUGUCUCACAUUAUAUUUUAUAAAUAUAUAAACAA
rnacentral:misc_RNA from 1 species